CGAAACAAGACCCUGGUAUGCCCAGAGGCUGAUGGAUUAGUACCACGAAAGCUUUCUUUGAUUGCCACUUACGUAGCAAUACACUUAUAUAUACAUAUACCGUCAUGGCACAUAUAUAUAUAAUGUGUGUGUAUAUAUAUGUAUAUAUGUAUAUAUAUAUAAAAGUCAAUUUGAGCCCGACGAGAAUCAUCAUACGAUAACAACGCAUUUUCUUCGUGUCUCUCGAGAAUCCUCAUCAACCCCUGAGGAAUUCCGUAACUGGAAGAGAAACGAAAGAUCCGAUCUCUUUAUUAAGAGUGUAUCUACCAAAUGAAGUUCGAAAAUCGUUAAUUCCUAUCAAGGGGAUCUCCUUAGACGGGACGAAUCCCUGGCUAUGGGUUCGAACUCAAAAAUGUUCGAGACGGGAGAAAGCCCAACUCGAUAUACGGGCAAUCUUCCUUGUUAGGAUGAAGGAUGAACAGGGAGGGGGGGUGAAGAGAAGGCGAACGAACGAAGAGACUUUUUUAGCCUACCAAACUUAGAAUGUUUCUCCAUAACGUGCGUGCACCUGGUGUUACUUAGAGACUUCUGGUUUUGGGAUAACAACACCAACGACCAUACUUCCAUCUUGCUAUGCCUAUCUCGGGACACUGAUGCGUGGUGUCUUCCAUGUCCUUUGAUCAUCAUAAAUGACCGACAACGAAGAAAAUCGAACGAACGUACGAAAAGAAUUUUCUUAGAAAUGUUUCAAAACUUUUAAAAAGAUAGAGCUAGAAAGAGACAGAUAGAUAGAGAGAAAGAUAGAGCGAGAAAGAGAGAGAGAGAGAGAGAGAGAGAUGGUGAUGAUCACAUUAAAAAGUCCGAUAUUAUAAUUAAAUUUAAAUUAAAAACGAUUCCCACUUUAUUACUUUUCGUAAUAUCACUUGACUUUUCGUAAUAUCAAAAAAAAAAAAAAAAAAAAAAAAAACUAACUGGAUAGAUCUUCAGUCUGUAAUGCGUUAACAUAAGUCAUUUAUAUUACAAAAGGAAUAAGAGAGAAGGAAAAAUAGACAAAGAGAAUAUUAUCUGAAAGUAUAAAUUAAAAAUAAUUCAAUUUUACAUAUUACUUUUAAUAACAAUAUUUUAUUAGAGAAAAAAAAUAAGUCGAUAAGUUUCAACAAUAUGUUGAACAAACUGUAAACAUCGAGUUAUUUUACAGAAAAAGAGAGAGAAAGAUAUAUAUAUAUAUAUAAGACAAGGUAUCGUUACUUGAUUACACGAAGGAGACAAAAGAAAGGAAGAGAGAAAGAGAGAAAGAGAGAGAGAAAAAGAGAGAGAGAGAGAGAGAGAGAGAGAAGGCACGCGUGUCGCGCGUACAACAAGGCCCAGAAGGGAACAUGAAUGAAGCUCCCAUUCAUGCCCUCAGAGCCCUACCUACUUGUAUCUACUUCAGCCCUUGUUUGUACCGUCUAUGGGAGCUUGCUUGAGACGGCAGAACGACGUCGUCGUCGUCGUCGUCGUCUUCUUCGUCGUCGUUGGCGCCGUUGCUGCUUAUGCGCUCGCGCUCACGUUUAUUCGCCAAGAGAAAAGAAAGAAAGAAAGAAAGAAAGAAAUAAGUACGUAAGUAAGUAAGUAAGUAAGUAAGUAAGUGAGUAUAUACGUACGUAGAAAGAGGCACGCACGCAUGCACUCACGCACGCAUUGGUGCUUUUACGUCAGCCGGUCAUGUCGCGACAAAACGUGUAUAUAUACAUACUUACGUGUGUGUGUAUAUAUAUAUGUGUGUAUGUUUGUGUGUAUGUGUACGCGUGUAUGUGUUUGUAUAUCUGUGUUUCACGAAGCGCCGGUGUACACGUGAUCGCCAUUGUUGAUCGCUUCGCAGCGCCAGGUUGGCGCGUUAUUCCGACUUUUUGCGAGCGGAGCUACCGUAUACUCGUUUCCUUCGGCUCGUGUGCCGCGGAGAGAUAUCCGCGAAUAGGAAGAAGAUGAAGGAGGAGAAGAAGAAGGAAGGGAAGGAAAAGAAGGUGGAGAAGAAGAAGAAGAAGUUGCUUCUCUCCAUUCAUCGAUGUACUCGCAAGAUUCUGUUAUCUUUGCGAAGAUCAUCCGAUCGGAGACCGAGAUCGAGACCGAGAUCGAGAUCGAGAUCGAGAUCUAGACCAAGAUCGAGACUGGGAUGGCAAGAUGAAAUGAAAGGAAUAAGAAAUAUAUUAAAAAAAAAAAAAAAAAAAAAGCGACACAAUGAUAUGAGAUUUGAUUGUUACAAGCAUAUAAAGGACUCAGAUAAAGUCGCAAGAAACGUUGAUUUUGUUCCGUAAAUCUUGUCGAUUCGAUUUUGGUUUCGACUUUGCUCGAUAACGUAGCAUGGAAAUUAAAAUGGCAGUUGAAACGAUUUAUCGUUAUGUUAUACGUGUUGUAAGCGAACGACGGAACAUCGAUAAGGUGAAAUUAUGUUUGAAGUUAAAUCGGAAAGAAAAAGAAAAAGAAAAAGAAAAAGAUGUAGCACAAGAAGGACAAGAAGAAAAAAAAAAGAGGAAAGGAGGAACUUUCCGUUUCUCUUCCUGAAAAAAAUGACUUCAUCCACAUACGAUUUCAAGGAGCUCGUUGGAGGUCAAAUAGACAUUCGUAAUCGCGAAUGCAUGAAGAAGCUUCGAAAUAACAGCUGUUCUUAUCUCGCUUGUAUCGAUCAAGAUUAGCUUCGAGCGGAUGGAUACGUACCAGUUACUAGAGACAUAGACAAAAAAAAUUGUGAACCUGCGUCGAAGCGUAUAGCCAUUCACGAGAUUAGCUUAGUUGCGUGACUGUUCGAGCGUGAUAUUCGAAAGUGCCGGACGAAGUAAUCGAAUCUUGGAAGUUC